UUUCUGGCGCGGUGCCUUCCGAGUUCCCUGGAACGGGACGCCACAGAGGGUGAGAGCCCCGUAUGGUUGGACACCAAGCCUGUGUGAAACUCCUUCAACGAGUCGAGUAGUUUGGGAAUGCUGCUCUAAAUGGGAGGUAAAUCUCUUCUAAAGCUAAAUACCGGCCAGAGACCGAUAGCGCACAAGUAGAGUGAUCGAAAGAUGAAAAGCACCUUGAAAAGGGGGUUAAAUAGUACGUGAAAUUGUUGAAAGGGAAGCACUUAUGACCAGACUUGGGCCGGGCGGCUCAUCAGGGGUUCUCCCCUGUGCAUUCCGCCCGGUACAGGCCAGCAUCGGUUCUCGUGGGGGGAUAAGACCGUCAGGAACGUAGCACCCUCCGGGGUGUGUUAUAGCCUGGCGGACGAUACCCCCGUGGGGACCGAGGUCCGCGUUCUGCAAGGAUGCUGGCGUAAUGGUUAUCAGUGACCCGUCUUGAAACACGGACCAAGGAGUCGUCCAUUAGAGCGAGCGUUUGGGUGUAAAACCCGCACGCGUAAUGAAAGUGAACGCAGGUGAGAGCUUCGGCGCAUCAUCGACCGAUCCUGAUGUUCUCGGAAGGAUUUGAGUAAGAGUUUUAACGGACGGACCCGAAAGACAGUGAACUAUGCUUGUAUAGGGUGAAGCCAGAGGAAACUCUGGUGGAGGCUCGCAGCGGUUCUGACGUGCAAAUCGAUCGUCAAAUAUGAGCAUGGGGGGCGAAAGACUAAUCGAACUGUCUAGUAGCUGGUUACGCG
rnacentral:rRNA from 1 species